rnacentral:tRNA from 1 species
UCCUUGGUGGCUCAGUGGUAAAGAAUCUGCCUGAAAUGCAGGAGACAUGGGUUCAGUUCCCGGUCCAGGAA